UGAUAACCCCUGAGCUCCUGGACUCCAGCUCAGAUACCCUUUGCAAUACUAAGUGUCACUAUGUCCUGGUGGCUGGUAGCUGAUGGCUUAACUGACCUGCUUGUCUGGAUUCCUUAAUUCUGGUUUUAUUUUAACCUCUUAAACCCUGUCAGUCCAGAUUGCUCAUUGCCUUCCCAUAAGCGCACCAGCUGACCAGGAGCAACAUCUUCAGUUCCUUCAGAAUGCAGAGUCUUUGACCUCCUCAUAAAGCCACACCUCAAGGGGAUGCUGGCCCUGGCUUCAGUCAAGGCACGUAUUAAAUUUCCGAUUGACUACCUAUAUUCACCACCUACCUUCAGAUUCUUGACCAAAAUGUGGCACCCCAACAUCUAUGAUGUAAGAGACAUUGUCAUAACUGUCUGGUUUUGUUUUUUCAGAUUAGUUCUUUAACAAGAGGUUAGGGCUUUACCAGUCAGGGCCCUGAGUCUGAUCAUCAGCACACAGAAAAGAAGUGGUUUGGACUAGAGAGGGGGGCUUAGUGGUAGAGCAUCUGCUUAGCAUGCACAAGGAUCUGGGCCCAGUCAGAACAGCACAGCCCCCGCCCACCUCUAAAGUAGAUUGGAUAUCUCAGAAAAGUGUGUUUUGCUCUAACUAC
rnacentral:lncRNA from 1 species